AUUUCGGGGAUCUACUCCCGUGCUGGCAAGGGACUACUAACUCAAGGGACAGUGCUAACUACUCUGAGGAACGUGUCCUGAACCCAUCUUCCAGUGCUCUUCCUUCGGUGAGUAGGAAGAUAUGCUGCCCAGACCUAAGGAUGUGCUGCUCAGACCUACAGGUCCUGUUUAAAAGAUGAUUCUGCCAGCUCCAGAAGUUCUUCCAUGAUGGAACAAAGGGAAUCUAUGACCUUGGAGGGGCCCGUGAUGAGACUAAAUGUUAGCUGCCAGAUGAAUAUAAGGGAGUUAAAAAAAACUGUCCAGUGAA